UAUCUCUGUAGAGUCUGCAUAUCAAUAAGCGGAGGAAAAGAAAACUAACUAGGAUUCCCUUCAGUAACGGCGAGUGAAGCGGGAAGAGCUCAAAUUUGAAAUCUUCAAGGUUUCUACCUUGACGAAUUGUAGUUUAAAGAAGUGUUUUCUGUUGGUAGUUUUGGUAAAAGUUCUUUGGAAUAGGACAUCAUAGAGGGUGAGAAUCCCGUAUUUGACCAUUACUUUCCAGCUUUGUGAUACACUUUUCAAAGAGUCGGAUUGUUUGGGAAUGCAGUCCAAAAUGGGUGGUAAAUUUCAUCUAAAGCUAAAUAUUGGCGAGAGACCGAUAGCGAACAAGUACCGUGAGGGAAAGAUGAAAAGAACUUUGAAAAGAGAGUUAAACAGUACGUGAGAUUGUCAAAAGGGAAGCGUUUGACACCAGUGUUGUUUUCUCGAAAAUCAAUUAAAAAAAGUUGGAUUUUGUAUUGUUAAGACCUUAUCAGCUUACUGUACUCUUUUCUUGCUUUUUUUAAUGCACUUUUCGUUUAACAAGUCAACAUCAAUUUCUUUUGUUGUAAAAGAGUCAUUGGAAGGUGGCUUUCACUUCGGUGAAAGUGUUUAUAGCCUUUGGCUUCUGCAAUCGGAGAGAUUGAGGUCUGCAGCGUAGAUCCUUCGGGGCUAGAUACGUAGAUGCUAAGUUAUAGUUUUUUAUAGACAACUUGUUGACUAUAAUUAAUCAUGUAGCUUACUCGUUUGCGCUAUUUUACCUACGCUUAGGAUGUUGACGAUCAGCUGAGCGCG
rnacentral:rRNA from 1 species